rnacentral:rRNA from 1 species
ACAAACCGGAGGAAGGUGGGGAUGACGUCAAGUCCUCAUGGCCCUUAUGGGUAGGGCUUCACACGUCAUACAAUGGUCGGUACAGAGGGUUGCCAAGCCGCGAGGUGGAGCCAAUCCCUUAAAGCCGAUCGUAGUCCGGAUCGUAGUCUGCAACUCGACUACGUGAAGUCGGAAUCGCUAGUAAUCGCAGAUCAGCAUGCUGCGGUGAAUACGUUCCCGGGUCUUGUACACACCGCCCGUCACACCAUGGGAGUGGGUUUCACCA